CACUUUCCUUCUAUUUCCGCCGCCACGCCACGCCACGCCACGCGCACCUCGGCGAAGGACAAGGCUCCGGCUGCCGCCACCGCCUCUGCCCCGGCUAUAAAGCCGCGCCCUUUGGCCGGCCCGCUCCUCCUCCUCUCUUCCUCCGCGCCGCGCCUCUCGCCUCCUCGCCGCGCUCUGCCCGGUCCGCUCCUCCUCCUCCUCUCUUUGUCCGGGCGGUGCCUCUCUCCUCCGACCUCCCCGCCGCGCUCCGGCCGGUCCGCUGCUCCUCCACCCUUCGUCCGGGCCGUGCGUAUGUCCUCCUCGAGUCGGGUUUCAUCUUGCUCGUCCUCCUAUGUCGAUCUGUCCGUCUAGAAUCGCGUAUGGAUUUGAUUUUGCUCGUCCUCGGUCGAUUUGCCCGUUUAGAGUCGCGUCCGGAUUUGAUUUUGCUCGCCGUCACCGUCGCCGUCGCCGGUUUAGAUAGCUAGAGAACCCCGCCUGAUUUGAUUUUGCCCGUUCUCCCCGUCGUCCGUUUAGGACCGCGCCCGAUUUGGUUUCAGUUUGCUCGUGCUCAGUUCGUCAGUUUAGAGUCGCUUCCGAGUUGAUUUUGCUCGUCCCUCCCCGCCGUUGUCGGUUUAGAGUCGCUUCUGAUUUGGUUCUGCCCGUUCUCGCCGUCGCCCGUUUCCGUUUUUGCUCGUCCUCGCCGUUGCCCCGACGCGCUCGCAUGUUCUUGGCCCGUCUCGUCGAGGGUCUCCGUCUGGUCUGCGGUUGAGAAAUUUCUGCGUGCGGUUCUGUUAUCUGAGAGACCCUUUGGAUCCUGCGUUUCUUCGUGUUCGUGUCUGCGCGAGAGUUGCAGGAACAGUCGGGUCUUGGUUUUGAAAUUGGGUUGCGGCCGGAGAUGGAGAGGCGGAGAGCAGUUGUCAGCUUGUCGUGCUAGUUCAGAUCGGUUGCUAGGCUCCUGCGUUGUUCGUCGGCAGUUUUCAGAUCUCAAACGGCUAGCUUGUUCGUGCUCGUCCAUCGAGACGUGCCCUUUGAUGCUCUGGUUCCUCUGUCGAUUCUGAUUGUACCAGCUAGCUUGUUUCAGUUUCGUCAGGCGUGUGUGCUCUCGUCCUGGAUGCAGGGGUGAUUCGUUACGGUUGUUCUGAUGCGUGUUACUGCUUCUGUUCUUUUCAAUUGAUUACUUCCUGUCAUGCUUUGCUUAUCCAUAUAUGGUGAUGUGUGUUCAGGGGUGCAAACCAUGUAGGCCGUGGGUGCAAAUCAUGUGGCUUGCUGCUUGACUAAUUGAACACCUGCUGCUGCUACUGUUGGACAAGGUUUCCUGCUUUUUUUGCCUCGUGUUGCUAGUCCGUUAGAUGAGGUGCUGCUAGUCCCUUAGACUUCGUUCUAGAUUGCAUAGCAUUACUCCAGAAUUUUGUCAUUGCCCACCUGGGCAUAUAAUUCUGCUGUCAGCAUAACUCUAGAAUUUAUUUAUCUGUGAAAGCACGUUCAUCACAUGUUCUUUAUCAAUGCUGCUCACUUUUGUCACGUCCCUUUUGUUUGUCCUGUUAAAUUUUAUGGCAUCAACUUGGAGCAAAUUUUGAACUCACUGGUUAGAAUGCUGACUUCUGUAUUUGUCGCUAUGUAAGCCAUGCACUUGGAAGCCUGGGAGUGAUUAGGAUUUGGAUUGCAUAGAGAUUUUAUGCUAUGUUUGUUUAUAACCUGGUUGUGACCUAAUAUAGUGCAAAUCUGCUAAUUUUUUAAUUUAAUUUAUGUUCAACACAAGUAGGUUUUGUUUGCAAGUGGUAUUUCUUUUGUGUGUGUAUGAACAUUCAUGCUGUCAAUUUUUCUUAUCAUAAUCAUUUACCGUGGUGUUCGACAAUACAUUUCUACUGUUCUUUGUUCCCUUUUGAGGUUCACUGACUCAAUUAUGCAUGAGAUUUGAUAUCAAUUACUGCUGUCCAGUCACUGAAAUAAUGCUUUUCUUGCUUUGUCUAGACUUUGUGACAAGAAUAAGCAUGCGUCUCUGUGCCUACAAACUUGUGGGUAGUGCCGUAGUGAUGAUGAUCCAACUAGCUUCCUGUUUUCAGGAAUGAAGAUCUGAAUUACCCUCACCCCUCUACAGAAAUCAGUUUACUCAUUCAGUUUCUGGAACUUCUUUAUAGCUUUCUGAGUUUAAGUCUUGCAUGUAUUGGCUUUCUGUUUGUACCCUUAUCUAUGUCUGUUUCUUUGUGUGUUUCUUGUGUGCAAGCGAUCCAUUGUGUGUGUCUGACUGUGUGUGUGAUGUGCCCUAUCUAUGUAUGUUUCUUUGUCUGUUUCAUGUGUGAAAGUGCUCCAUUAUCUGUGUUUGACUGCUUGGAUGGGGUGAUUCUGAUUGUGUUACUGCUUAUAUGGUCUGUCCAAUUGGUUUCUUAUUCAAGCUUUGCUUGUGUUCCGAUGUCGUCUCCCCAUAUAUGGCGAUGUGUUCAGGGAUGCAAACCAUGUAGGCCGUUUCGAGCAGGCAGGGAUCCAGAGACGUGCACUGGUCAGGCUUCUCUCCUGCUGAUAGAUGAUGAUAGGCUGAGCAGAAAAGUUUGACUCUCGUAACACUCACUUGCUUGGCUUCCACUCCUUUGUGUGGCCGAUUUGGCAUCCAAUGCAUCUCAUGCCUAUCUUAUACUCCCUCCGUUCCAAAAUAGAUGACCCAACUUUAUACUAACUUUACACUAAAGUUAUAAAGUUAGUAGAAAGUUGAGUCAUCUAUUUUGAAACGGAGGGAGUAUAUCUCACUCACUCAUCACAGCAUCCUUUUCCCUGUUUUUGUUCCUUUCUUUCUUAUCAUAAUAAUCAUGUAUACCGUGGUGUUUCACAAUACAUUUUUUGUGAUAUCUGUGUUUCAUUAUGUCUUAUGUGGAUAUCAUAUUUUUUUUUGUAUAUUACUGCUGUCCAUUCACUGGAAUAAUGCUUUCCUAAGUAUUUCAGGUAGGAUAUAGACAAAUGUCACAUUUGCUCUUCCUUGUGUUGCUAAGGACACUGAUGGGUGGGGUUUGCUUACAGCGCAGGACCGAUAAUUCUGAUAGUAUGCCAAGGACUGCUCAGGGUUCCUACCACUUUCUGUUUUACCAACUAAGGUAAUCGAAUUUUGACCUUCAACUUGCAAAUUUAUCACCUUAUGGGAGGGAAAGGUUUGCAUGUACAUGAGCUCUGAUUAUCUACAUAUAUACUUGAAUUGCUUUGGAUUUGUUGGACUACUAUUCUACAUGAUGUUCUCCAUGAUUCACUUGAUCUGUUAAUUUGAGUAUUUUCCCGGUGAGUUCUUUAGGUUCAUCUUGUGACACAAAAUACAAUUUUGGUACGUGCAGACUCUGAAAUUUGGUGAUAAAGAAAAGGGUGGAUGGAGGGUUUCAUGAUGGCUAAUUUGAUUUGUUAUGGUUCUGAUGGUGUGCUUCUUGUGUUUGAACUGAAGCCGUGGAUCACUCAUCAACCUGGUCUGUGUUUGUAUGAUGAAUUAUUUCCGGAUAGGACAGAGGUGCAAUGUUUACAUCCAUGGUAGAAGGUUCUUUAACACUGAACUCAUCAAAGGUCCUUGGACUCAAGAGGAAGAUGACAAAAUUAUUGACCUUGUAAACAAGUAUGGACUAACAAAAUGGUUGCAUUGCAAGGUCAGCUACCAGAACUUCCUGCUGCUGAUCCUGGGAUGUUUCCGAACAUGCUCCCGAACAUGCUCAAUCUAUCCGCCCUAGGACAGCCACUGCCAUGACACAGCAGGUUACUCGGCAUGCUCGGUGUGUUUACUUCGGUGGACUUCCUCCGAUCGCUAAUGAACAGACGGUUGCUCUAUUCUUCAAUCAAGUUAUGGCUGCUAUCGGGGAAACACGUUUGGUCUAGGUGGCAUAAUCAUCUGAAUCCAAACAUAUGGAACGAUGCUUGGACUACUGAGGAGGAACAUGCACUGAUUAAUGCCAUCAGGUAUAUGUGAAUAAAUGAGCAGAAAUAGCAAAACUUACUCCUGGAAGGUACUGCAUGCCAAACAACUUACAUCAUGGGUCUUGCUUGUAGUAUUAGCUUUCUGUUGCCCUUUCUAUCUCUUAUGUGUGUGACUGACUCUGUGUGACUGUUACUGUGUGUGUGACUGAAUCUGUGUGUGACUGUGACUUUGUGUGUGACCGACUGUGUGUGUGUUUGAAUUAAUAUUGCAUUCGCUUGAUGGUGUGUGCUGUAUGCUUUGCUUGAUGGUGUGUCCUGUAUGCUUUGCUUGAUGGUGUGUCCUGAAUGCUUUGCUUGAAUGAUUGGUGUUGUAUGUUUUGUUUGUU